rnacentral:rRNA from 1 species
CUAUCAGGUAGUAGUGGGUGUAGCGUACCUACUAGCCUACGACGGGUACGGGUUGUGAGAGCAAGAGCCCGGAGAUGGAUUCUGAGACACGAAUCCAGGCCCUACGGGGUGCAGCAGGCGCGAAAACUUUACAAUGCCGGCAACGGCGAUAAGGGGACCUCGAGUGCCAGGUUACAAAUCUGGCUGUCGUGAUGCCUAAAAAGCAUUGCAUAGCAAGGGCCGGGCAAGACCGGUGCCAGCCGCCGCGGUAACACCGGCGGCUCGAGUGGUAACCGUUAUUAUUGGGUCUAAAGGGUCUGUAGCCGGCCGGAUAAGUCUCUUGAGAAAUCCAGCAGCUCAACUGUUGGGCUUUCAGGAGAUACUGUCUGGCUCGAGGCCGGGAGAGGUGAGAGGUACUUCAGGGGUAGGGGUGAAAUCUUGUAAUCCUUGAAGGACCACCAGUGGCGAAGGCGUCUCACCAGAACGGACCUGACGGCAAGGGACGAAAGCUAGGGGCACGAACCGGAUUAGAUACCCGGGUAGUCCUAGCCGUAAACGAUACUCGCUAGGUGUCGGCCACGGUGCGACCGUUGUCGGUGCCGUAGGGAAGCCGUGAAGCGAGC